AACGAACGCUGGCGGCAUGCCUAACACAUGCAAGUCGAACGAGACCUUCGGGUCUAGUGGCGCACGGGUGCGUAACGCGUGGGAAUCUGCCCUUUGCUUCGGAAUAACAGUUAGAAAUGACUGCUAAUACCGGAUGAUGUCUUCGGACCAAAGAUUUAUCGGCAAAGGAUGAGCCCGCGUAGGAUUAGGUAGUUGGUGGGGUAAAGGCCUACCAAGCCGACGAUCCUUAGCUGGUCUGAGAGGAUGAUCAGCCACACUGGGACUGAGACACGGCCCAGACUCCUACGGGAGGCAGCAGUGGGGAAUAUUGGACAAUGGGCGAAAGCCUGAUCCAGCAAUGCCGCGUGAGUGAUGAAGGCC
rnacentral:rRNA from 1 species